rnacentral:rRNA from 1 species
GACGAACCGUGCGAACGUUAUUCGGAUUCACUGGGCUUAAAGGGCGCGUAGGCGGCUUGCCAAGUCGGGGGUGAAAUCUUUCGGCUCAACCGGAAAAUAGCUUCCGAUACUGGCAGGCUCGAGGGAGGUAGGGGCACGCGGAACUCCAGGUGGAGCGGUGAAAUGCGUAGAUAUCUGGAGGAACGCCGGUGGCGAAAGCGGCGUGCUGGAUCUCCACUGACGCUGAGGCGCGAAAGCCAGGGGAGCAAACGGG